rnacentral:rRNA from 1 species
GACGAACGCUGGCGGCGCGCUUAACACAUGCAAGUCGAACGGAAAGGCCUGCUUUCCCUUGUGGAUUGCGGGUACUCGAGUGGCGAACGGGUGAGUAACACGUGAGUGAUCUGCCCCCAACUUGGGUAUAAGCCUGGGAAACUGGGUCUAAUUCCCGAUAGGACUGCAGGGUGGUGCCUGUGGUGGAAAACGCUUUUCUAGUGGUUGGGGAUAAGCUCGCGGCCUAUCAGCUUGUUGGUGGGGUAAUGGCCUACCAAGGCGGCGACGGGUAGCCGGCCUGAGAGAGUGGACGGCCACAUUGGGAGUGAGAGACGGCGCAGAAUCCUACGGGAGGCAGCCGGGGGGAAUAUUGCACAAUGGGCGGAAGCCUGAAGCAGGGACGCCGCGUGGGGGAUGACGGCCUUCGGGUUGUAAACUCCUUUCGACCGCGAGGAAGCCACCUGGUUGGAAGGGUGGUGACGGUAGUGGUAGAAGAAGCACCGGCUAACUACGUG